rnacentral:rRNA from 1 species
UACGUAGGUGGCAAGCGUUACUCGGAAUCACUAGGCGUAAAGCGCAGGUAGGCGGUUCGGUAAGUCUCUUGUGAAAGCUCCCGGCUCAACUGGGAGAGGUCAAGGGAAACUACCGGGCUAGAGUGCGGCAGAGGAAGCUGGAAUUCCCGGUGUAGCGGUGAAAUGCGUAGAGAUCGGGAGGAAUACCUAUGGCGAAAGCAGGCUUCUGGGCCGUCACUGACGCUGAGACACGAAAGCGUGGGUAGCAAACAGG